AUGUUGCCGGCUAGCGUCAAGUUCGAUCCCACGGAUCAGGAGCUGAUCGAGCACCUUGACACCAAAGUGAGUGUUGACAGCGCGAGAUUUCAAUCUCUCAUCGAUUUGUUCAUACCAACCAUCGACAGCGAGCACGGCAUAUGCUACACCCAACCUGAGAAACUUCCAGGUAUCACAAUAAGUGGCCUAAGGAAGCAUUUCUUCCAGCGCAAUUCCAGGGCGUUCAAAUGGGGCACGUGGACGCGUCGCAAGAUACAACGGGCAACAAAAAAGGUUCUGGUGCUGCACACCAACAAGAACUUCGACCAGCAAAGGACUAACUGGGUGAUGUACCAGUACCACAUCGGGGACCUGGAGCAAGAGAAGGAGCGGGAGCUGGUCCUCUGCAAGAUUUUCUACCAGACGAACACUAGGGCUGGGAGUAGUUUGGUAUUGGUAGUUGUACUACCUUGUCGUCCGCAAGUUGGUAUUGUUGUUAAUGAUCUUUUGGCCCAGGCCAUGACGACAACGGGGCACAAAGAUCCAGCAGGUAUCUACUGGCCUCUGGCCCGCCAGCUUUAG
rnacentral:rRNA from 1 species